rnacentral:rRNA from 1 species
UAGGGAAUCUUCGGCAAUGGACGAAAGUCUGACCGAGCAACGCCGCGUGAGUGAAGAAGGUUUUCGGAUCGUAAAACUCUGUUGUUAGAGAAGAACAAGGACGUUAGUAACUGAACGUCCCCUGACGGUAUCUAACCAGAAAGCCACGGCUAACUACGUGCCAGCAGCCGCGGUAAUACGUAGGUGGCAAGCGUUGUCCGGAUUUAUUGGGUGUAAACCGAGCGCAGGCGGUUUCUUAAGGCUGAUGUGAAAGCCCCCGGCUCAACCGGGGAGGGUCAUUGGAAACUGGGAGACUUGAGUGCAGAAGAGGAGAGUGGAAUUCCAUGUGUAGCGGUGAAAUGCGUAGAUAUAUGGAGGAACACCAGUGGCGAAGGCGGCUCUCUGGUCUGUAACUGACGCUGAGGCUCGAAAGCGUGGGGAGCAAACAGG